rnacentral:rRNA from 1 species
UACGGGGGGAGCAAGCGUUGUUCGGAUUUACUGGGCGUAAAGGGCGCGUAGGCGGUCAGCACAAGUCAGUUGUGAAAUCCCCGGGCUUAACCUGGGAAUGGCAUUUGGGACUGCAAGGCUUGAGUGCGGCAGAGGAGACUGGAAUUCCCGGUGUAGCAGUGAAAUGCGUAGAUAUCGGGAGGAAUACCGAUGGCGAAGGCAGGUCUCUGGGCUGACACUGACGCUCAUGCACGAAAGCGUGGGGAGCAAACGGG